CUGCAGACCGUACUGCUACUAUGCAGUAAGAACACCAGAUACUGCUAGUAGCCAAGUAUGCCGAUGGAGGCAUCCAAAGAACCAGCUAGAAUGUCCCCUCAAAGUACAGAGGCAUGUAUUAUCAUCUCUGAUUGUGUUCCUGGAAAGCUUGCAAAUACAAGAUGCAAGGAGGAGGAGCUUAAAAAAUCCAGGUGAACAUACGUGUUUUCUUGCUACAGGGAAGAAAGUUGGAAUGGAUAUCAGCAGAACAAACAGGAGAUAAAACACAGACUACAAUAAACCAUCCUGACACUGGAAAUCUCAUUACAAUUUUGUUCUUAUCAACAGGCUCCAUCUUCACAACUGAAGCAGAGUCAGCUCAAAACUGCUCUCCCUUCUUUACACUGGAUUUUAGUCUGAACCUGUUAUGACACAG
rnacentral:lncRNA from 1 species